AGUGGUACGCGAGCUGGGUUUAGAACGUCGUGAGACAGUUCGGUCCCUAUCUGCCGUGGGCGUAGGAUGAUUGAUUGGGGCUGCUCCUAGUACGAGAGGACCGGAGUGGACGCAUCACUGGUGUUCCGGUUGUGUCGCCAGACGCAUUGCCGGGUAGCUAAAUGCGGAAGAGAUAAGUGCUGAAAGCAUCUAAGCACGAAACUUGCCAAGAGAUGAGUCAUCCCUGACUUUAAGUCAGUAAGGGUUGUUGUAGACUACGACGUAGAUAGGUC
rnacentral:rRNA from 1 species